GGCAGACAGAAACUAUGGUACGAUCGGGGCGUUCCAGGUGGGACAAAAAGUCCUGGUGCUUAGGCCAGUAAAGGGAAAUAAACGUCAAGCAUCCUGGCAGGGCCCCUACAAGGUGGUAGCGCAGAUCUGCGAUACCACCUAUGUAAUUGCCAGUAGCGAGGACAAAAAGGUAUGCAAAUCCUUUCAUGUAAAUCUGCUAAAG